AUUGAACGCUGGCGGCAGGCCUAACACAUGCAAGUCGAACGAGUGGCGGACGGGUGAGUAAUGUCUGGGAAACUGCCUGAUGGAGGGGGAUAACUACUGGAAACGGUAGCUAAUACUGCAUACCAUCAGAUGGGCCCAGAUGGGAUUAGCUAGUUGGUGGAGUAACGGCUCACCAAGGCAACGAUCCCUAGCUGGUCGGAGAGGAUGACCAGCCACACUGGAACUGAGACACGGGACAGACUCCGACGGGAGGCAGCAGAGGGGAAUAUUGCACAAGGGGAGCAAGCCUGAUGCAGCCAUGCCGCGUGUAGGAAGAAGGCCUUCGGGUUUGAAAGUACUUUCAGCGGGGAGGCGUUACCCGCAGAAGAAGCACCGGCUAACUCCGUGCCAGCAGCCGCGGUAAUAC
rnacentral:rRNA from 1 species